GAGGAAUAUUGGUCAAUGGGGGCAACCCUGAACCAGCCAAGUCGCGUGAAGGAUGAAGGUCUUAUGGAUUGUAAACUUCUUUUACACGGGAAUAAAGCGGGGGACGUGUCCCUCUUUGCAUGUACCGUGUGAAUAAGGAUCGGCUAACUCCGUGCCAGCAGCCGCGGUAAUACGGAGGAUCCGAGCGUUAUCCGGAUUUAUUGGGUUUAAAGGGUGCGCAGGCGGGAUGUUAAGUCGGCGGUGAAAUUUUGCAGCUCAACGGUAAAAGUGCCUUCGAUACUGGCCUUCUUGAGUGUGGAUGAAGUAGGCGGAAUUUGUGGUGUAGCGGUGAAAUGCUUAGAUAUCACGAGGAACUCCGAUUGCGCAGGCAGCUUACUAAGCCACAACUGACGCUCAUGCACGAAGGCGUGGGGAUCAAACA
rnacentral:rRNA from 1 species